UGUAGCAAUACAAGGCAGACGGCUCAGUAACGCGUAGUCAACCUACCCUAUGGACGGGAAUAACCUCGGGAAACUGAGUAUAAUGCCCGAUAGAACACUAUACCUGGAAUGGUUUGUGUUCCAAAUGAUUUAUCGCCAUAGGAUGGGACUGCGGCCUAUCAGUUUGUUGGUGAGGUAAUGGCCCACCAAGACUAUUACAGGUACGGGCUCUGAGAGGAGUGGCCCGGAGAUGGGUACUGAGACACGGACCCAGGCCCUAUGGGGCGCAGCAGGCGAGAAAACUUUGCAAUGUGCGAAAGCACGACAAGGUUAAUCCGAGUGGUUUCUGCUAAAGGAACCUUUUGUCAGUCCUAGAAACACUAACGAAUAAGGGGUGGGCAAGUUCUGGUGUCAGCCGCCGCGGUAAAGCCAGCACCUCAAGUGGUCAGGAUGAUUAUUGGGCCUAAAGCAUCCGUAGCCGGCUCUGUAAGUUUUCGGUUAAAUCUGUACGCUUAACGUACAGGCUGCCGGGAAUACUGUAGAGCUAGGGAGUGGGAGAGGUAGACGGUACUCGGUAGGAAGGGGUAAAAUCCUUUGAUCUAUUGAUGACCACCUGUGGCGAAGGCGGUCUACCAGAACACGUCCGACGGUGAGGGAUGAAAGCUGGGGGAGCAAACCGGAUUAGAUACCCGGGUAGUCCCAGCUGUAAACUAUGCAAACUCAGUGAUGCAUUGGCUUGUGGCCAAUGCAGUGCUGCAGGGAAGCCGUUAAGUUUGCCGCCUGGGAAGUACGUACGCAAGUAUGAAACUUAAAGGAAUUGGCGGGGGAGCACCACAAGGGGUGAAGCCUGCGGUUCAAUUGGA
rnacentral:rRNA from 1 species